rnacentral:rRNA from 1 species
AUUGAACGCUGGCGGUAUGCUUUACACAUGCAAGUCGAACGGUAACAGGUUAAGCUGACGAGUGGCGAACGGGUGAGUAAUGCAUCGGAACGUGCCCGGUCGUGGGGGAUAACGCAGCGAAAGCUGCGCUAAUACCGCAUACGAUCUGAGGAUGAAAGCGGGGGACCGUAAGGCCUCGCGCGAUCGGAGCGGCCGAUGUCAGAUUAGGUAGUUGGUGAGGUAAAGGCUCACCAAGCCAACGAUCUGUAGCUGGUCUGAGAGGACGACCAGCCACACUGGGACUGAGACACGGCCCAGACUCCUACGGGAGGCAGCAGUGGGGAAUUCUGGACAGUGGGCGAAAGCCUGAUCCAGCAAUGCCGCGUGCAGGAAGAAGGCCUUCGGGUUGUAAACUGCUUUUGUACAGAGCGAAAAGGCUCUCUCUAAUACAGGGGGCUCAUGACGGUACCGUAAGAAUAAGCACCGGCUAACUACGUGCCAGCCGCCGCAGUAAAAC